rnacentral:tRNA from 1 species
AUGGCUCAGAAGUUAAGAACACUGGCUGCUCUUCCAGAGGUCCUGAGUUCAAUUCUC